rnacentral:rRNA from 1 species
UACGAAGGGUGCAAACGUUGCUCGGAAUUAUUGGGCGUAAAGCGCACGUAGGCGGCUUUGCAAGUCCGAUGUGAAAUCCCUCGGCUUAACCAAGGAAGUGCAUCGGAAACUGCAGAGCUUGAGUACUUAAGAGGAUCGCGGAAUUCCCGGUGGUAGCGGUGAAAUGCGUAGAGAUCGGGAGGAAGGCCGGUGGCGAAGGCGGCGCUCUGGAACGUUUCUGACGCUGAGACGCGAAAGCGUGGGGAGCAAACAGG